UACGUAGGUGGCAAGCGUUGUCCGGAUUUACUGGGCGUAAAGAGCGCGCAGGCGGUCGUUCAAGUCGCGUGUGAAAGCCCCCGGCUCAACUGGGGAGGGUCACGCGAUACUGUUCGACUCGAAGGCAGGAGAGGGUAGUGGAAUUCCCGGUGUAGUGGUGAAAUGCGUAGAUAUCGGGAGGAACACCAGUGGCGAAGGCGACUACCUGGCCUGUUCUUGACGCUGAGGCGCGAAAGCUAGGGGAGCAAACGGG
rnacentral:rRNA from 1 species